rnacentral:rRNA from 1 species
UAGGGAAUCUUCGGCAAUGGGGGCAACCCUGACCGAGCAACGCCGCGUGAGUGAAGAAGGUUUUCGGAUCGUAAAGCUCUGUUGUAAGAGAAGAACGUGUGUGAGAGUGGAAAGUUCACACAGUGACGGUAACUUACCAGAAAGGGACGGCUAACUACGUGCCAGCAGCCGCGGUAAUACGUAGGUCCCGAGCGUUGUCCGGAUUUAUUGGGCGUAAAGCGAGCGCAGGCGGUUUAAUAAGUCUGAAGUUAAAGGCAGUGGCUUAACCAUUGUUCGCUUUGGAAACUGUUAAACUUGAGUGCAGAAGGGGAGAGUGGAAUUCCAUGUGUAGUGGUGAAAUGCGUAGAUAUAUGGAGGAACACCGGUGGCGAAAGCGGCUCUCUGGUCUGUAACUGACGCUGAGGCUCGAAAGCGUGGGGAGCAAACAGG